AUGGGCGGUCAGGGGCAGCAGAAUUUCCCCAAAGGGCAACCAAACCCUGCAGGCCAACAGAAGCAGCAACAGCAGAGAGGUCCGAGCAAGCAUGCGGCGAAAAGGUCUGCGAAAACCCUGCUCGACGUUGCGGCAGAUCUGAAAGCUUACUUAGCUGAUAUCUGCCUCAACUGUGGAGAUCCUGGUCACCCAGCCGUGGACUGUGCUAAGCCCAAAUCCUGCCAAAUCUGCAAGAUGAUCUCCCAUACGGCUGAUGUGUGCCCAGUGAGGAAGCAACCGCACCCGACAGCAAGAUACAUUGGAAGCGCAGCCCCUGGACUUGGCUUCUACCAUGUGGAGCUGAUUGAUGUCAAUGCUCAGAGGAUUGGGACUCUGCAAAACAUUGGAAUCGUCUAUGUGGAGGAGGGCAGCAUUACUAAAGAGGAAUUAGCUGCAGAAUUCACCAUCAUCUACAAAACUAGCUGGCCGUGGCAGAUCAGGUCAUUAGAUGAAUGGUCCUUCCUAGUUAAGUUUCCUCCUGAGAUUCCUGUUACUCAGGUAGCAUGA
rnacentral:rRNA from 1 species